rnacentral:misc_RNA from 1 species
UUUCCGUAGGUGAACCUGCGGAAGGAUCAUUGUCGAAGCCUGCCCAGCAGAACGCCCCGCGAACUUGUAUAAACAACCGGGGGCAGGGGCGAUCUCGCCCCGUGCCCUCGAACGGCAGGGGGACACUCGUGCCUUCUUGUCGAACAACGAACCCCGGCGCGGUCUGCGCCAAGGAACUUCAAUUAAAGAGUGCCUCCGGUCGCCUCGGAAACGAUGCGCGUGUCGGAGGCGAAUCUUGUACAAAACCAUAACGACUCUCGGCAACGGAUAUCUCGGCUCUC